UGCUGUUUCUCCAACUCCCGGACUUUACUCUCCAGUUUGGCCAUAGUCUGCCGAAUUGUCUGCACCUAGGAAGGAUCACCGAGAGGGCUGAAGACUUAAGUGUCACUCUAGUGCGCCCUACUCCUCGGUCCUCCUAACCCUUACCUUCUGGAAGAACUCGUCGUCCGGGCUGCUCAGCCGGGCGGCACCUGAGUGCACCACCAACGCGACUCGAACCUCAUCUUCAUCGUCUGAGAUGUUAUCCCCCUGCCAGGAUCGGAGUCAUUGGCACCACUUGCUCUCUGCGGUUCUCGUCCCGCAGGAACCAUGGGCUUCCGGGAUUUUCCUUCCUGGCCCUCAGCCACCCGUCCCGGACCCAAAACCAGGAGUCCUCACUCCAGCGCUCCCGCCCGGCCCCACUUCUCCAUUCCAGAGUGUCUUCACGAUCCUAUUUUCUCACCUGCCUCAACUCAUGGGUCCUGUCGCGCAUGGUGGCCGGAGUGCCCUGGACCUGAGCCCAAAGGGCCUCAAGGUUCUAAAUUUGGAAGUCCUGCACCUCUCUCACACUUGACACCCCCUCCCUCACCUUGCGAACUCCAAUACCCCCAGGAGCCGCCAAAGGCCACACCCCUUUCACCAUCCACAGUGGUGGGGAAGAACCCGACCAUA
rnacentral:lncRNA from 1 species